GAUGAACGCUGGCGGCGUGCCUAAUACAUGCAAGUCGAGCGAACAGACGAGGAGCUUGCUUCUCUGACGUUAGCGGCGGACGGGUGAGUAACACGUGGAUAACCUACCUAUAAGACUGGGAUAACUUCGGGAAACCGGAGCUAAUACCGGAUAAUAUAUUGAACCGCAUGGUUCAAUAGUGAAAGACGGUUUUGCUGUCACUUAUAGAUGGAUCCGCGCCGCAUUAGCUAGUUGGUAAGGUAACGGCUUACCAAGGCAACGAUGCGUAGCCGACCUGAGAGGGUGAUCGGCCACACUGGAACUGAGACACGGUCCAGACUCCUACGGGAGGCAGCAGUAGGGCAUCUUCCGCAAUGGGCGAAAGCCUGACGGAGCAACGCCGCGUGAGUGAUGAAGGUCUUCGGAUCGUAAAACUCUGUUAUUAGGGAAGAACAAAUGUGUAAGUAACUAUGCACGUCUUGACGGUACCUAAUCAGAAAGCCACGGCUAACUACGUG
rnacentral:rRNA from 1 species